CCUACGGGAGGCAGCAGUAGGGAAUCUUUCACAAUGGGCGAAAGCCUGAUGGAGCAACGCCGCGUGCAGGAUGAAGGCCUUCGGGUUGUAAACUGCUUUUAUAAGCGAGAAAUAUGAUGGUAACUUAUGAAUAAGGAUCGGCUAACUACGUGCCAGCAGCCGCGGUCAUACGUAGGAUCCGAGCAUUAUCCGGAGUGACUGGGUGUAAAGAGUUGCGUAGGUGGCAUAAUAAGUAGCUAGUGAAAUCUGGUGGCUCAACAAUUCAGACUAUUAGCUAAACUGUUAAGCUCGAGACCGUUAGGGGUAACUGGAAUUUCUAGUGUAGGAGUGAAAUCCGUAGAUAUUAGAAGGAACACCAAUAGCGUAGGCAGGUUGCUGGGACGGUUCUGACACUAAGGCACGAAAGCGUAGGGAGCAAACGGGAUUAGAUACCCCAGUAGUC
rnacentral:rRNA from 1 species